rnacentral:lncRNA from 1 species
GCAUAUCUUCCUCGGUCUGAGACAGAUCUAGGUUUUUCCUUCCGCACAGGAUCUCUAAUACCACAACCCCAAAGCUGUAAACAUCAACUUUUUCUGUGAUAAUGGAGCUCAGCCAUUCAGGAGCCAAGUAACCAGGUGUCCCCUCAUUCUUGUUACAAUUCGGCUCUGGUCCUUGUCGAUGAGCUUUGACAAUCCAAAAUCAGAAACUUUUGCAUUGAAAUCUUCAUCCAAGAGGAUGUUGUGGGGUUUGAUAUUCAAGUGAAAUAUUUUCUUUCUGCAGUCCUCGUGGAGAUAGGACAGUCCCUUGGCUAUUUCAAGGAUGAUCUUCCUUCUGGAUUGCCAACCAAGAGCAAGGUCUCGAUUUCCAUGGAAGAUCCACUUAUCCAAGGAUCCAUUGCACAUGUACUCGUAGACUAAAAGCCUAUGAGAUUUUUCUGAGCAAAAUCCAAUCAAUCUUACCAAAUUAACAUGGUGAAUGCUACCUGUUGUCUCAGCUUCGGCUAAAAAUGACUUCUUUACUUGACCCAACCCUUCAAGUUGCUUAACUGCAACUUUGAUUCCAUUGCUCAAAGUCCCUUGAAAGACUCAUCCAAAUCCUCCUUCCCCUAGCUUGCAGGUAAAAUUUUCUGUGAUGGCUUUCAAGUCUUCAUAGGAGAAUCUAGUGGGCAUUCCGGGUAUCCAGUCUAGAUGAUCCUCCUCAACUUUUUCGGAAUCUCUUCUCUUCGAGAAAAGAAAAAGGAAAGCUCCGAUCAAGAUAAAAACAAGAAAGAGGGCUCUAAGACUUGAUUCAACUAUGAUUCGAGCAUUCCCUGCUUUCUUCUCAACUACAUUUCCACCUUCCCCUACCUUCUUUUCAGUCGGGGAAUUCUCUGCUUUAAGAAACAAAGAUGUACUAAAAUUAUAAGUUGUAUCCAAUGUUUCCAUGUUCUGGAGUGUAAAGACUUCAGAUAGCAAGCAAAAAUCUCCACUUGAAUGAUUUGAAGGAUGUCUAAACAGAGCAGCUUUGCACGAUCAGUUCUUCAAACAGGUCUGCUUGCAAAUCUCCACAUCUGUAGACUGAAUGUCCACUUGAAAAGUGAAGUAGCUCGUGUUUUGAAGCUCAAGAAGACUAAUAUUGAGAUAAUUGGCAGGAAAUGGGUGUAAUUGCGGAGCAGCCAAGGUUGGUUUGCCGGCUGUGUUUGUAGACCAAACAAAAGUGCCAUCAGCAUCUGCUAAGAUCAAAUCUCCUUCUUCAGUGAGUCGUACAGUAGCAUUAAAUCCGACUGGACGGUUUUGAUUCGCAGACCACACAGGCUGCGGAGAAUAUACGUCUUGGAAGAUAAGAAUGGCAAAGGGGCAUGAAUUGCUCGCAUACUGACAGAAGAAGCCACAUAGGAAACCUGGGCCACUGGUUUCUCUGAGGCUGAGAAGGAUGGGCUUCACAUUCACCUAAUCCAAGUUGUUCGUACAUUCUCCUCCAGGGAUGUUGGUCCAUGAAGUGAAGAGGUUUGCACUAUUUGGAUACGGAUCUUGGAGUCCGGCAAAGGUUGAGGGGAAAGAAGAGAUUAUGAGAAAAGCAAAAAGAAGUGCAGAAAUGAAACGAGACUCCAUCCAAUAUGGACUCAUGGCUUCUCCCAUGUGAAGGUUUCCAACUUCUACUGACACAAAAAUGAAAGGGAGGAAGAAAAUACAGAGAAUGAAUUCAAGUCUAGCUAAAGAAUUGUCACAGCCCACAGGAAGAUCAAUUUGCCUUUUCAAGUUUUGCAUGGAGUCUUCUGCAUUAUUGUCCGAAGUCCCGACAACAAUCUAAACCCAAGUCCUUUCCCCGUAAAAGUUCGCCAUGUUUACAAGUUGUCUCAAAUAAGAAUAUUACUAUUCAUGUUUUAUUAAAAAUAAAAUUAAUUUUAUAAUUAUAAAUAAAUUUAUUAUUUAUAAGACUUGAAUUAAAUUUAAUUAAUAUUAUAUAAAUUAAAUUUACGUUAUUAAUUAAAAUCAAAAUAAAAAAAUUAUUUUUAAAAAUAAUUUAGUCAAAUAAGUCUUUCCGCUCUCCAUCUCUUCUCUCAUUUCCCCACUCACGGAAUCAUGGCCAGUCUUUCCGCUCUCUCCCAUCCCUCUCACAUUCUCUCUUUCUCUCUCUCCCCUUUUUCCCAUUUUCUUUUUCUUUCUUUCCCUUUUCUUCCCCUACUUCCCUUUCUUCUCUCCUUUUCCCUCGUAACCAUGCACACACCUCUCACCCAUCCUCCCUAUGCCACUGCCGACGACAUCGGCUUCCAGUUACCGGUACCACCUCCUCCAACCGGGCACCCCCUUUCUCCCUUCAUCUUACUUUCUCUCUCUCAUUCUCUCUCUUUCAUUUCUCUCUUCUUCAACACCCAUUUUCCUUUGGGUUAAUUGGUUAAAGGGUCAAAAUAACCUCCAUAUUUGCAAACAUAAUUCAUCAGUCAAAAAACAAAAAAGUUGACUCGAUUAAGACAAAAAUGUCAUUCUUUUAUCUCUCCAACACAUACAACUUCUCCUCUUCUCCUUCAUUUACAAAACGACUCAUCAUAUUUUCCAAAAAAAAUCUCUCAUCAUCUUCUUCUACUUCAUUAUCUUCCUUUGGUGCAUAAAACGGAAAUAUAAUCUCCUUUUCCACUUCAUUUACAGAACGAGUCCUCAUCUUUCAUCGUCUCCUUCUAUUUUAUUAUCUUCCUUUGAUGCACAAAACGAAAAUCUCAUAUUUUCUUCAAAAACCCUAAAAAUCCUCUGUUUCAUUCCGAAUCCUUGGAAAAAUUGUUAUUCUAUUUUUUUCAAGUUAUCUCAUAUUAUAUCUUCAAGCACGAAGGAAACAAUGAGUUCAUUGAAGAGUGAUAGGAGAAAAAGAUUUUAAAAAGUGGCGAAAAAGCUAAAAUUCCAAUUGCAAACAGAAGAAAAAGGUGAAGCAGAAGAAAGUGAAGCAAAGAAAAUCGAAGCUAUUGAGCAAAAAUCCUAACUACUGUGAAACAGUGACUGUAAACUUAACUGUGGUUAAGUUUUUUGUUAAUGGAACUCAACUACUAUUAAGUUCAGGUGAAAAUUCGGACUGUGAACUUAAUUGUGGUUAAGUUCUUUAUUAAUGAAACUCAACUACUGUUAAGUUCAAGUGAAAUAUCUUACUGUGAACUUAACUAUGGUUAAGUUCUUUGUUAAUGCAAUUCAACUACUAUUAAGUUUAGAUGAAAAUUCUGAUAGUAAACUUAAAUGUGGUUAAGUUCUUUGUUAAUAUAAUUCAACUACUGUUAAGUUUAGGUGGAAAUUCUUUGAACGAACUUUUCACUUGUUCAAAACUAACAAUGGAGUCUCUAUUUUUUUACCUACACUGUUGAAGUAAGAUUUUGAAUUUUCAAGAAACAGAAAGAAAUAAAAUGAUAAUAUAAAAAAGAAAUUGUUGGUUGCUUACAUUUUUUUUUCAUAUUUUUCGUGAUCAAGAAUGAAGAAUAGUUGAAACAAUAGUAAGAAGUUAAACUUGAUCUCUACAAGAAAAGAAAGAGAAGAGCAACCAAUGAUUGAAUAAAAAAAUUAAAACCUAAUCUACUAUAAAACAAAGGGAAAGAGGAAAGGAAAAUGCGAAGUUGUAUAUGUUGUAGAGAAAAAAUAAGAAGGGCAUUUUUGUCUCAAUCGGGUCAAUAUUUUUGCUUUUUGAUCAGUGGGUUAUAUUUCCUUUCUUCCCAUUCUUCUCUCAUCCCUUACUCACACCAGCAUUGCUAGUCACGACAUCUCCAGCAUGACUGCCACUCCACCCUUGUUCCAUUCUUCAAGGCAAACACCCACCCUUUGUUUAUGAUUUGUUUGGUAUAAUUGGAUUUUGUUUGUAUGCUUGGUUAUUUUAUUAGAACUUCGGCGUAUUGCAUUUUGGUUAUUUGAUUGUGGACUUAGGGCCGCAUGUUUCGUUAAUUUUGGGCUUUCAGUUAUUUAAUUCAGGCUUUUUAAUUAUUCUUAUUUUGAAAUCAAAUCACACAAAAAUUGUAAAAUAAGAUUUGUAAAAUCGCUUUUUCAAAUAAAUAAAAAUAAAAAUACUUUUCUAAAUAAAAUUAUAAAAUCUUUUUAAAUAAAAUGGUUAUUUUUUUUCAAAAAAAAAGUAAAAUUAUAUAACUCCUUUUUUUUUUUUUUAAUAAAAAUAGGAAACUUUUUUAAAAUAAAGUUACAAAAUCAUCUCUUUCUUAAUAAAAGUAAACAAAAUUUUCUUAAAUAAAAUAAAAUUGAAUUUUUUUUUUUAACAAAAUAAGGACAAAAUCAUUUGGUAAUAUAUACAUAAUUUUAACAAACUUAAAUAAAGAUCACUUUUCUUAAUAUAAUUGGAUUUAUAAUUUUUUUUUUUAAAGCCUUGUUUUUUAAAAUGAAAAAUUUGAUUAAGAAUAGAAGUUGUAAUAAAAACCAUUCUUAAAUAAUAAAAUUUAGUUUGGAAAUAAUUUUCCUGAAUAGAAAUUAUAAAAAGAAAAAAAAAUCUUUUUCUAAAUAAAAUUGGUUAGGGAAUAAUUUUUCAUAAAUGAAAUUAAAUAAAAAUCACUUUUCUAAAGUAAAGAUUGACUUGGAACUCAUUUUGUAAAUAGAAGUUAAAAAAAAAAAUCAUUUUGCUAAAAAUCUCAUUCUUCAGAUAAAGAUUUCAAUUGAAGUCUCUCUUGAAAAUAUUUUUCCCUUUUAAAAUUUUUUUCUAAAUAAUAAUCAAAUGGAUGGUUUUUUCAAAAUAGUAUAAAACUUGAUUUCAAUGAAAAUAAUAAAAAACAAUUCCUUUAUAAAUAAAAUCAAAUUGAAAUAUUCUUUUGUAAAUAAAUUUAUAAAAUCAUUCUUUAAAUAAUUUGUAAACAUCAUUUUUAGUAAAUUAAAUUUAAAUUGAAAUAUUUUCUUGGAAAUAAAAUUCUAAAAAUUCAUUCUAGCAGAAGUAAAUAAAAUAAAUAAAAAACAUCUUGUAAAUAAAAUAAAAUAAAAUAAAAUUCAAAAUUUUCUCUUUAAAUGAAAUUGUACUUAAUAAAUUCUUUUAAUAAAUACAAGAAAAAUUCUUUGAAAAUGAAUUUAAAUGUAAAUAAAAUUAAAGCUUUUGAUAAAUAAAUGAAAGCUUUCUGAAUAAUCAAAUUGGUUUUUAAUGUAAAUAAAUUCUUUCAAGAUUUCUUAAAAUUGUAUUAUGAUAUUUGAAAUAAUAAAAUCUUUCUAAUAAAUUAUUUUAUGCAUUUCUCAUGUAUCAAAUUUAUAUAUUUGUGUAAUUUGUUUUUAUCAUUGUUUUGAUGUACACUUAUAUUAUUCUUUUGUGGUAUCAUGAUUUGUUGACUAAUUGUCAUAGUUUCUUUGCUCGUUUAGUAAAGACAGUAGGUAUAUGGAUUUAGAGGACUGCUUCAACUUAUUGUUAUAUCUUCCCGAUAGAUAACUUGACUCUCAAAUUUUUAUUUUUAUUUUUUUUAAAAUUCUUCUUACAGAAUUUUUCUUUUUCUAAAUAAAGAGUCACACGUGAUUCUUUUUCUUAUUUUGUUUUCUCUUUUAAAAAUAAACUAAAAUAAGUAAUUACUCCAACUUUUCAAAAAUCAAAUUUUCACAUAAAAAAAUAAGUCUCGCCAAUGAGUGGAACACACCUGGUUCUGCACUUGGUUUUCUGUUCUUUAACUUUAAAUAAUUUGUUAAAAAACAAACAUCAUAAAACAUGAUGAAAUGGAUCCUUAACUAUUUAUAAAUACUCAAUUUUAUUGCAGGUGUUAUUAUAGGAGACAACUUCACUUAUUUUUUAUUUUUAUUUUUUAAGUUUACAAAUCUAAAAUGAUUUUUAUUUACUAAAAAUAAACUUUUUGUUUCAUUAAAAAGUAAUACUUUAAGACACAACUUCCUUGUAUAUGAAAGUUGUUUGUUUAAGAGGCAACUUCCUUUAUUUGUUUUAAAGCAUAUAAUUUUGAAAUGAUUUCUUCUCUUUUUUUUUCUUUUCUUUUCACAAAGAUGGUCUUUAUAAGGUUUAUAUUUAAGGGUUUUGCAACAAAAUCCUAAACUUUAAAGAGGAAAGUAAACUCUAUGAAGUUGAUCAAAACUUAAAUUAGGGAAUAUGCUAGAAAAGGGUACAGGCAAAACCCAUUUAGCCAGAAUGGAAAUUUUAGUGGAUAGUAUAGGAAAAGUUAUGGAGAGUUGCGUGUCUUUUUUGUCUUUUUUCUAAGAGAGCGAUAAAUAAAAAAGUCAAAUCAUGUGUCUUUUUUCUAAGAGAGCGAUAAAUAAAAAAGUCAAAUCACACCAGUAAUAGGUAAAUGUCUCUUUUUCUCAUCAUUGAAAUUAUUUGUAAGAUAUUAACUACAAUUGAAAAGUUCUUAUCAAUAAAAUUCUCGCGGCCUUCAUCCAUCAAAUUCACAAAUAGGAUUCCAUUCAAAGAGAGAGAGGACGAAAAGUAAGAGUUGAUUAAUGAUCCUCAUAAUUUUCUUCCCCAUCGUAUUUGACCAGAGAAGCCUACUAGUGUGCUCUCACUUUCCUGGACAAGGAAUUUAGGACUUGGAAGUCAUCCUAUAGGUGGUUAUUUACAAAAUAAGGUUAUUGAUAUUCUAAAAAUCCUACCUAUGAAGUGGUUUUUAAAAUUUAUUUUUUAUAAUAUAAUAUAUCACUAAAAUUAUUAUUAAAAGCACUUUUAUGAACAACUAAUAAAAGAGAAAAAGAAAGAGUGAAAUGCUAUGACUUGUUCUUUCAGCUAAAAUUAUUGUGGAAGGAAAAACAAACGAGAGCCCAACUUUUCACUAAUGGAUGUCUAAAACCCAAAACUAUACCAUAAAAACUCCACAUGUAUUUUAAUUACCUCUCUUCACCUUGGUCCUGAUAAAGCAGAUGGUAUUGGUUCUGCAGUAGCAGCAUCAGCAGCCUUGUUCCCCAUGCCUGCAAUUUUUGGUGGUCGUGGGGAAUAUGAGAAACUGUACUCCAAGUUAUCCUCAAUGUCCACUAAACCUUCCAAAACCUUCACCACCACUGACAUGGAGGGCCUCCUUGCAAAAUCACUUUGGAGGCACCAUCCACCCACCUUCAUCAUCUCCACAACAUCUGCUCCAUGUAACUGCAUAUCCUCACUGCACUUAUCGAUUAUAUCUGCAAGUCGGUUCUCUUCUGCCUUUCUCUUGAAAAUACCUAGUAAGUGCAUAUCUUCCUCGGUCUGAGACCGAUCUAGGUUUUUCCUCCCGCACAGGAUCUCUAGUACCACAACCCCAAAGCUGUAAACAUCAACUUUUUCUGUGAUAAUGGAGGUCAGCCAUUCAGGAGCCAAGUAACCAGGUGUUCCCCUCAUUCUUGUUACAACUUGGCUCUGGUCUUUGUCGAUGAGCUUUGACAAUCCAAAAUCAGAAACUUUUGCAUUAAAAUCUUCAUCUAAGAGGAUGUUUUGGGGUUUGAUAUCCAAGUGAAAUAUUUUCUGCC